AUUGCUUCUCGGCCUUUUGGCUUAGAUCAAGUGUAAUAUCUACCACAUAUCAGGUACAGUCCCAGGAAGUAGACAUUUAAAAAUUAAUAUUGUUAUGAACAUGU
ensembl:snRNA U2 U2 spliceosomal RNA